rnacentral:misc_RNA from 1 species
UCCGGUUUGUCACCGGCAGUCUCCCUAGAGUUCCCACCAUUACGUGCUGGCAACUAGGGACAAGGGUUGCGCUCGUUGCGGGACUUAACCCAACAUCUCACGACACGAGCUGACGACAGCCAUGCAGCACCUGUCACUCGGUUCCCGAAGGCACCAAUCCAUCUCUGGAAAGUUCCGAGGAUGUCAAGACCAGGUAAGGUUUUUCGCGUUGCAUCGAAUUAAACCACAUGCUCCACCGCUUGUGCGGGCCCCCGUCAAUUACUUUGAGUUUUACCGUUGCCGGCGUACUCCCCAGGCGGAGAACUUAACGCGUUAGCUGCGACACCGAGAGGCAACCCUCCCAACAUCUAGCAUCCAUCGUUUACGGCGUGGACUAC